rnacentral:rRNA from 1 species
UGCCAGCCGCCGCGGUAAUACGGAGGGUGCAAGCGUUGCUCGGAAUUAUUGGGCGUAAAGGGGAGGUAGGUGGUCUCGUUUGUCUGGGGUGAAAUCCCUGAGCUUAACUUAGGAACUGCCCUAGAAACGGCGAGACUAGAGUCCUGGAGAGGGUCGUGGAAUUCCCGGUGUAGCGGUGAAAUGCGUAGAGAUCGGGAGGAACACCAGAGGCGAAGGCGGCGGCCUGGACAGGUACUGACACUAAACUCCGAAAGCGUGGGGAUCAAACAGGAUUAGAUA